GGGUUGUGAGGUUAAGCGACUAAGCGUACACGGUGGAUGCCCUGGCAGUCAGAGGCGAUGAAGGACGUGCUAAUCUGCGAUAAGCGUCGGUAAGGUGAUAUGAACCGUUAUAACCGGCGAUUUCCGAAUGGGGAAACCCAGUGUGAUUCGUCACACUAUCAUUAACUGAAUCCAUAGGUUAAUGAGGCGAACCGGGGGAACUGAAACAUCUAAGUACCCCGAGGAAAAGAAAUCAACCGAGAUUCCCCCAGUAGCGGCGAGCGAACGGGGAGCAGCCCAGAGCCUGAAUCAGUGUGUGUGUUAGUGGAAGCGUCUGGAAAGGCGCGCGAUACAGGGUGACAGCCCCGUACACAAAAAUGCACAUGCUGUGAGCUCGAUGAGUAGGGCGGGACACGUGGUAUCCUGUCUGAAUAUGGGGGGACCAUCCUCCAAGGCUAAAUACUCCUGACUGACCGAUAGUGAACCAGUACCGUGAGGGAAAGGCGAAAAGAACCCCGGCGAGGGGAGUGAAAAAGAACCUGAAACCGUGUACGUACAAGCAGUGGGAGCACGCUUAGGCGUGUGACUGCGUACCUUUUGUAUAAUGGGUCAGCGACUUAUAUUCUGUAGCAAGGUUAACCGAAUAGGGGAGCCGAAGGGAAACCGAGUCUUAACUGGGCGUUAAGUUGCAGGGUAUAGACCCGAAACCCGGUGAUCUAGCCAUGGGCAGGUUGAAGGUUGGGUAACACUAACUGGAGGACCGAACCGACUAAUGUUGAAAAAUUAGCGGAUGACUUGUGGCUGGGGGUGAAAGGCCAAUCAAACCGGGAGAUAGCUGGUUCUCCCCGAAAGCUAUUUAGGUAGCGCCUCGUGAAUUCAUCUCCGGGGGUAGAGCACUGUUUCGGCAAGGGGGUCAUCCCGACUUACCAACCCGAUGCAAACUGCGAAUACCGGAGAAUGUUAUCACGGGAGACACACGGCGGGUGCUAACGUCCGUCGUGAAGAGGGAAACAACCCAGACCGCCAGCUAAGGUCCCAAAGUCAUGGUUAAGUGGGAAACGAUGUGGGAAGGCCCAGACAGCCAGGAUGUUGGCUUAGAAGCAGCCAUCAUUUAAAGAAAGCGUAAUAGCUCACUGGUCGAGUCGGCCUGCGCGGAAGAUGUAACGGGGCUAAACCAUGCACCGAAGCUGCGGCAGCGACGCUUAUGCGUUGUUGGGUAGGGGAGCGUUCUGUAAGCCUGCGAAGGUGUGCUGUGAGGCAUGCUGGAGGUAUCAGAAGUGCGAAUGCUGACAUAAGUAACGAUAAAGCGGGUGAAAAGCCCGCUCGCCGGAAGACCAAGGGUUCCUGUCCAACGUUAAUCGGGGCAGGGUGAGUCGACCCCUAAGGCGAGGCCGAAAGGCGUAGUCGAUGGGAAACAGGUUAAUAUUCCUGUACUUGGUGUUACUGCGAAGGGGGGACGGAGAAGGCUAUGUUGGCCGGGCGACGGUUGUCCCGGUUUAAGCGUGUAGGCUGGUUUUCCAGGCAAAUCCGGAAAAUCAAGGCUGAGGCGUGAUGACGAGGCACUACGGUGCUGAAGCAACAAAUGCCCUGCUUCCAGGAAAAGCCUCUAAGCAUCAGGUAACAUCAAAUCGUACCCCAAACCGACACAGGUGGUCAGGUAGAGAAUACCAAGGCGCUUGAGAGAACUCGGGUGAAGGAACUAGGCAAAAUGGUGCCGUAACUUCGGGAGAAGGCACGCUGAUAUGUAGGUGAAGUCCCUCGCGGAUGGAGCUGAAAUCAGUCGAAGAUACCAGCUGGCUGCAACUGUUUAUUAAAAACACAGCACUGUGCAAACACGAAAGUGGACGUAUACGGUGUGACGCCUGCCCGGUGCCGGAAGGUUAAUUGAUGGGGUCAGCGCAAGCGAAGCUCUUGAUCGAAGCCCCGGUAAACGGCGGCCGUAACUAUAACGGUCCUAAGGUAGCGAAAUUCCUUGUCGGGUAAGUUCCGACCUGCACGAAUGGCGUAAUGAUGGCCAGGCUGUCUCCACCCGAGACUCAGUGAAAUUGAACUCGCUGUGAAGAUGCAGUGUACCCGCGGCAAGACGGAAAGACCCCGUGAACCUUUACUAUAGCUUGACACUGAACAUUGAGCCUUGAUGUGUAGGAUAGGUGGGAGGCUUUGAAGUGUGGACGCCAGUCUGCAUGGAGCCGACCUUGAAAUACCACCCUUUAAUGUUUGAUGUUCUAACGUUGACCCGUAAUCCGGGUUGCGGACAGUGUCUGGUGGGUAGUUUGACUGGGGCGGUCUCCUCCUAAAGAGUAACGGAGGAGCACGAAGGUUGGCUAAUCCUGGUCGGACAUCAGGAGGUUAGUGCAAUGGCAUAAGCCAGCUUGACUGCGAGCGUGACGGCGCGAGCAGGUGCGAAAGCAGGUCAUAGUGAUCCGGUGGUUCUGAAUGGAAGGGCCAUCGCUCAACGGAUAAAAGGUACUCCGGGGAUAACAGGCUGAUACCGCCCAAGAGUUCAUAUCGACGGCGGUGUUUGGCACCUCGAUGUCGGCUCAUCACAUCCUGGGGCUGAAGUAGGUCCCAAGGGUAUGGCUGUUCGCCAUUUAAAGUGGUACGCGAGCUGGGUUUAGAACGUCGUGAGACAGUUCGGUCCCUAUCUGCCGUGGGCGCUGGAGAACUGAGGGGGGCUGCUCCUAGUACGAGAGGACCGGAGUGGACGCAUCACUGGUGUUCGGGUUGUCAUGCCAAUGGCACUGCCCGGUAGCUAAAUGCGGAAGAGAUAAGUGCUGAAAGCAUCUAAGCACGAAACUUGCCCCGAGAUGAGUUCUCCCUGACUCCUUGAGAGUCCUGAAGGAACGUUGAAGACGACGACGUUGAUAGGCCGGGUGUGUAAGCGCAGCGAUGCGUUGAGCUAACCGGUACUAAUGAACCGUGAGGCUUAACCUUACAACGCCGAAGCUGUU
rnacentral:rRNA from 1 species